GUCAACAGUCAUAUCACGUUGAAAAUAUCAAUUCUCGUUCGAUCACUGCAGUUGAGCAACGUUGAGCACGGUUAGUACCUAAAUGGAUAAUCUAGACGGUAUUCCCGCUUGGGAAUACCGUGUUGGCA
rnacentral:rRNA from 1 species